rnacentral:rRNA from 1 species
GAUGAACGCUGGCGGCGUGCCUAAUACAUGCAAGUCGAGCGAACAGACGAUGAGCUUGCGCCUCUGACGUUAGCGGAGGACGGGUGAGUAACACGUGUAUAACCCACCUAUAAGACGGGGAUAACUUCGGGAAACGGGAGCUAAUACCGGAUAAUAUAUUGAACCGCAGGGUGCAAUAGUAAAAGACGGUGUUGCUGUCACUUAUAGAGGGAUCCGCGCCGCAUUAGCUAGUUGGUAGGGUAACGGCUUACCAAGGGGACGAGGCGUAGACGAACGGAUAGGGUGGUAGGCCACACUGGAGCUGAGACACGGUCAAGACUCCUAAGAGAGGCAGCAGAAGGGAAUCUUACGCAGUAGGGGAAAGCCUGACAGAGUAAGAGCGAGUGAGUGAUGAAGGUCUUGGGAUCGUAAAACUCUGUUAUUAGGGGAGAACAAAUGUCUAAGUAGAUAUGCAGGUAGUGACGGUAACUAAUAAGAAAGCAACGGCUAACUACGUG